UUAAGUUAUUAAGGGCGCACGGUGGAUGCCUUGGCACUAGAAGCCGAUGAAGGACGUUACUAACGACGAUAUGCUUUGGGGAGCUGUAAGUAAGCUUUGAUCCAGAGAUUUCCGAAUGGGGAAACCCAGCAUGAGUUAUGUCAUGUUAUCGAUAUGUGAAUACAUAGCAUAUCAGAAGGCACACCCGGAGAACUGAAACAUCUUAGUACCCGGAGGAAGAGAAAGAAAAUUCGAUUCCCUUAGUAGCGGCGAGCGAAACGGGAAGAGCCCAAACCAACAAGCUUGCUUGUUGGGGUUGUAGGACACUCUAUACGGAGUUACAAAGGACGACAUUAGACGAAUCAUCUGGAAAGAUGAAUCAAAGAAGGUAAUAAUCCUGUAGUCGAAAAUGUUGUCUCUCUUGAGUGGAUCCUGAGUACGACGGAGCCCGUGAAAUUCCGUCGGAAUCUGGGAGGACCAUCUCCUAAGGCUAAAUACUCUCUAGUGACCGAUAGUGAACCAGUACCGUGAGGGAAAGGUGAAAAGCACCCCGGAAGGGGAGUGAAAUAGAACCUGAAACCGUGUGCUUACAAGUAGUCAGAGCCCGUUAAUGGGUGAUGGCGUGCCUUUUGUAGAAUGAACCGGCGAGUUACGAUUUGAUGCAAGGUUAAGCAGUAAAUGUGGAGCCCGUAGCGAAAGCGAGUCUGAAUAGGGCGUUUAGUAUUUGGUCGUAGCCCCGAAACCAGGUGAUCUACCCUUGGUCAGGUUGAAGUUCAGGUAACACUGAAUGGAGGACCGAACCGACUUACGUUGAAAAGUGAGCGGAUGAACUGAGGGUAGCGGAGAAAUUUCAAUCGAACCUGGAGAUAGCUGGUUCUCUCCGAAAUAGCUUUAGGGCUAGCCUCAAGUGAUGAUUAUUGGAGGUAGAGCACUGUUUGGACGAGGGGCCCCUCUCGGGUUACCGAAUUCAGACAAACUCCGAAUGCCAAUUAAUUUAACUUGGGAGUCAGAACAUGGGUGAUAAGGUCCGUGUUCGAAAGGGAAACAGCCCAGACCACCAGCUAAGGUCCCAAAAUAUAUGUUAAGUGGAAAAGGAUGUGGCGUUGCCCAGACAACUAGGAUGUUGGCUUAGAAGCAGCCAUCAUUUAAAGAGUGCGUAAUAGCUCACUAGUCGAGUGACACUGCGCCGAAAAUGUACCGGGGCUAAACAUAUUACCGAAGCUGUGGAUUGUCCUUUGGACAAUGGUAGGAGAGCGUUCUAAGGGCGUUGAAGCAUGAUCGUAAGGACAUGUGGAGCGCUUAGAAGUGAGAAUGCCGGUGUGAGUAGCGAAAGACGGGUGAGAAUCCCGUCCACCGAUUGACUAAGGUUUCCAGAGGAAGGCUCGUCCGCUCUGGGUUAGUCGGGUCCUAAGCUGAGGCCGACAGGCGUAGGCGAUGGAUAACAGGUUGAUAUUCCUGUACCACCUAUAAUCGUUUUAAUCGAUGGGGGGACGCAGUAGGAUAGGCGAAGCGUGCGAUUGGAUUGCACGUCUAAGCAGUAAGGCUGAGUAUUAGGCAAAUCCGGUACUCGUUAAGGCUGAGCUGUGAUGGGGAGAAGACAUUGUGUCUUCGAGUCGUUGAUUUCACACUGCCGAGAAAAGCCUCUAGAUAGAAAAUAGGUGCCCGUACCGCAAACCGACACAGGUAGUCAAGAUGAGAAUUCUAAGGUGAGCGAGCGAACUCUCGUUAAGGAACUCGGCAAAAUGACCCCGUAACUUCGGGAGAAGGGGUGCUCUUUAGGGUUAACGCCCAGAAGAGCCGCAGUGAAUAGGCCCAAGCGACUGUUUAUCAAAAACACAGGUCUCUGCUAAACCGUAAGGUGAUGUAUAGGGGCUGACGCCUGCCCGGUGCUGGAAGGUUAAGAGGAGUGGUUAGCUUCUGCGAAGCUACGAAUCGAAGCCCCAGUAAACGGCGGCCGUAACUAUAACGGUCCUAAGGUAGCGAAAUUCCUUGUCGGGUAAGUUCCGACCCGCACGAAAGGCGUAACGAUUUGGGCACUGUCUCAACGAGAGACUCGGUGAAAUCAUAGUACCUGUGAAGAUGCAGGUUACCCGCGACAGGACGGAAAGACCCCGUGGAGCUUUACUGUAGCCUGAUAUUGAAAUUCGGCACAGCUUGUACAGGAUAGGUAGGAGCCUUUGAAACGUGAGCGCUAGCUUACGUGGAGGCGCUGGUGGGAUACUACCCUAGCUGUGUUGGCUUUCUAACCCGCACCACUUAUCGUGGUGGGAGACAGUGUCAGGCGGGCAGUUUGACUGGGGCGGUCGCCUCCUAAAAGGUAACGGAGGCGCUCAAAGGUUCCCUCAGAAUGGUUGGAAAUCAUUCAUAGAGUGUAAAGGCAUAAGGGAGCUUGACUGCGAGACCUACAAGUCGAGCAGGGUCGAAAGACGGACUUAGUGAUCCGGUGGUUCCGCAUGGAAGGGCCAUCGCUCAACGGAUAAAAGCUACCCCGGGGAUAACAGGCUUAUCUCCCCCAAGAGUUCACAUCGACGGGGAGGUUUGGCACCUCGAUGUCGGCUCAUCGCAUCCUGGGGCUGUAGUCGGUCCCAAGGGUUGGGCUGUUCGCCCAUUAAAGCGGUACGCGAGCUGGGUUCAGAACGUCGUGAGACAGUUCGGUCCCUAUCCGUCGUGGGCGUAGGAAAUUUGAGAGGAGCUGUCCUUAGUACGAGAGGACCGGGAUGGACAUACCUCUGGUGUACCAGUUGUCGUGCCAACGGCAUAGCUGGGUAGCUAUGUGUGGACGGGAUAAGUGCUGAAAGCAUCUAAGCAUGAAGCCCCCCUCAAGAUGAGAUUUCCCAACUUCGGUUAUAAGAUCCCUCAAAGAUGAUGAGGUUAAUAGGUUCGAGGUGGAAGCAUGGUGACAUGUGGAGCUGACGAAUACUAAUCGAUCGAAGACUUAAUCAA
rnacentral:rRNA from 1 species